GUGCUCGCUUUGGCAGCAAAUAUACUAAAAUUGGAACUAUAGGGAGAAGAUUAGCAUGGCCCUUGCACAAGGAUGACAUGCAAAUCUAUGAAGUGUUCCCUAUUUUU
ensembl:snRNA U6 U6 spliceosomal RNA